GGUUAAGCGACUAAGCGUACACGGUGGAUGCCCUGGCAGUCAGAGGCGAUGAAGGGCGUGCUAAUCUGCGAUAAGCGCCGGUAAGGUGAUAUGAACCGUUAUAACCGGCGAUACCCGAAUGGGGAAACCCAGUGUGAUUCGUCACACUAUCAUUAACUGAAUCCAUAGGUUAAUGAGGCGAACCGGGGAACUGAAACAUCUAAGUACCCCGAGGAAAAGAAAUCAACCGAGAUUCCCCAGUAGCGGCGAGCGAACGGGGAGGAGCCCAGAGCCUGAAUCAGCAUGUGUGUUAGUGGAAGCGUCUGGAAAGGCGCGCGAUACAGGGUGACAGCCCCGUACACAAAAGCGCAUGUGCUGUGAGCUCGAUGAGUAGGGCGGGACACGUGGUAUCCUGUCUGAAUAUGGAGAUCAUCCUCCAAGGCUAAAUACUCCUGACUGACCGAUAGUGAACCAGUACCGUGAGGAAAGGCGAAAAGAACCCCGGCGAGGGAGUGAAAAGAACCUGAAACCGUGUACGUACAAGCAGUGGGAGCACAGGUUUACCUGUGUGACUGCGUACCUUUUGUAUAAUGGGUCAGCGACUUAUAUUCUGUAGCAAGGUUAACCGAAUAGGGGAGCCGGAGGAAACCGAGUCUUAAUUGGGCGUUAAGUUGCAGGGUAUAGACCCGAAACCCGGUGAUCUAGCCAUGGGCAGGUUGAAGGUUGGGUAACACUAACUGGAGGAUAGAACCGACUAAUGUUGAAAAAUUAGCGGAUGACCUGUGGCUGGGGGUGAAAGGCCAAUCAAACCGGGAGAUAGCUGGUUCUCCCCGAAAGCUAUUUAGGUAGCGCCUCGUGAAUUCAUCUCCGGGGUAGAGCACUGUUUCGGCUAGGGGCCAUCCCGGCUUACCAACCCGAUGCAAACUGCGAAUACCGGAGAAUGUUAUCACGGGAGACACACGGCGGGUGCUAACGUCCGUCGUGAAGAGGAAACAACCCAGACCGCAAGCUAAGAUCCCAAAGUCAUGGUUAAGUGGGAAACGAUGUGGGAAGGCCCAGACAGCCAGGAUGUUGGCUUAGAAGCAGCCAUCAUUUAAAGAAAGCGUAAUAGCUCACUGGUCGAGUCGGCCUGCGCGGAAGAUGUAACGGGGCUAAACCAUGCACCGAAGCUGCGGCAGCGACACUCAGGUGUUGUUGGGUAGGGGAGCGUUCUGUAAGUCUGCGAAGGUGGCCUGUGAGGGUUGCUGGAGGUAUCAGAAGUGCGAAUGCUGACAUAAGUAACGAUAAAGCGGGUGAAAAGCCCGCUCGCCGGAAGACCAAGGGUUCCUGUCCAACGUUAAUCGGGGCAGGGUGAGUCGACCCUAAGGCGAGGCCGAAAGGCGUAGUCGAUGGGAAACGGGUUAAUAUUCCCGUACUUGGUGUUACUGCGAAGGGGGACGGAGAAGGCUAUGUUGGCCGGGCGACGGUUGUCCCGGUUUAAGCGUGUAGGUGUGUGUUCCAGGUAAAUCCGGUUCACUUUAACACUGAGGCGUGACGACGAGGCACUACGGUGCUGAAGCAACAAAUGCCCUGCUUCCAGGAAAAGCCUCUAAGCAUCAGGUAACAUCAAAUCGUACCCCAAACCGACACAGGUGGUCAGGUAGAGAAUACCAAGGCGCUUGAGAGAACUCGGGUGAAGGAACUAGGCAAAAUGGUGCCGUAACUUCGGGAGAAGGCACGCUGACACGUAGGUGAAGUGAUUUACUCACGGAGCUGAAGUCAGUCGAAGAUACCAGCUGGCUGCAACUGUUUAUUAAAAACACAGCACUGUGCAAACACGAAAGUGGACGUAUACGGUGUGACGCCUGCCCGGUGCCGGAAGGUUAAUUGAUGGGGUCAGCGCAAGCGAAGCUCCUGAUCGAAGCCCCGGUAAACGGCGGCCGUAACUAUAACGAUUCUAAGGUAGCGAAAUUCCUUGUCGGGUAAGUUCCGACCUGCACGAAUGGCGUAAUGAUGGCCAGGCUGUCUCCACCCGAGACUCAGUGAAAUUGAACUCGCUGUGAAGAUGCAGUGUACCCGCGGCAAGACGGAAAGACCCCGUGAACCUUUACUAUAGCUUGACACUGAACAUUGAGCCUUGAUGUGUAGGAUAGGUGGGAGGCUUUGAAGUGUGGACGCCAGUCUGCAUGGAGCCGACCUUGAAAUACCACCCUUUAAUGUUUGAUGUUCUAACGUGGAUCCGUGAUCCGGGUUGCGGACAGUGUCUGGUGGGUAGUUUGACUGGGGCGGUCUCCUCCUAAAGAGUAACGGAGGAGCACGAAGGUUGGCUAAUCCUGGUCGGACAUCAGGAGGUUAGUGCAAUGGCAUAAGCCAGCUUGACUGCGAGCGUGACGGCGCGAGCAGGUGCGAAAGCAGGUCAUAGUGAUCCGGUGGUUCUGAAUGGAAGGGCCAUCGCUCAACGGAUAAAAGGUACUCCGGGGAUAACAGGCUGAUACCGCCCAAGAGUUCAUAUCGACGGCGGUGUUUGGCACCUCGAUGUCGGCUCAUCACAUCCUGGGGCUGAAGUAGGUCCCAAGGGUAUGGCUGUUCGCCAUUUAAAGUGGUACGCGAGCUGGGUUUAGAACGUCGUGAGACAGUUCCGGUCCUAUCUGCCGUGGGCGCUGGAGAACUGAGGGGGCUGCUCCUAGUACGAGAGGAUCGGAGUGGACGCAUCACUGGUGUUCGGGUUGUCAUGCCAAUGGCACUGCCCGGUAGCUAAAUGCGGAAGAGAUAAGUGCUGAAAGCAUCUAAGCACGAAACUUGCCCCGAGAUGAGUUCUCCCUGAGACUUAGAGUCUCCUGAAGGAACGUUGAAGACGACGACGUUGAUAGGCCGGGUGUGUAAGCGCAGCGAUGCGUUGAGCUAACCGGUACUAAUGAACCGUGAGGCUUAACCUU
rnacentral:rRNA from 1 species